UACGUAGGGGGCUAGCGUUGUCCGGAAUCAUUGGGCGUAAAGAGCGUGUAGGCGGUUCGGUAAGUCCGCUGUGAAAGUCCAGGGCUCAACCCUGGAAUGCCGGUGGAUACUGUCGGGCUAGAGUCCGGAAGAGGCGAGUGGAAUUCCCGGUGUAGCGGUGAAAUGCGCAGAUAUCGGGAGGAACACCUAUGGCGAAGGCGGCUCUCUGGGACGUGACUGACGCUGAGACGCGAAAGCGUGGGGAGCGAACAGG
rnacentral:rRNA from 1 species